rnacentral:rRNA from 1 species
AGAGUUUGUCAUGGCUCAGAACGUACGCUGGCGGCACGCCUAACACAUGCAAGUCGAACGAAGUAGCAAUACUUAGUGGCAGACGGGUGAGUAACAUGUAGGUAUCUGCCCUUUGGCCUGGAAUAACACGAGGAAACUUGUGCUAAUACCGGAUAAGUCUUUACGGAGAAAGCUUUAUGCACCAUUGGAUGAGCCUGCACUUGAUUAGUUUGUUGGUGGGGUAAUGGCCCACCAAGACUGUGAUCAAUAGCUGAUUUGAGAGGAUGAUCAGCCACAUUGGGACUGAGACACGGCCCAAACUCCUACGGGAGGCAGCAGUGGGGAAUCUUGCACAAUGGAGGAAACUCUGAUGCAGCGAUGCCGCGUGAGUGAAGAAGGCCCUUGGGUUGUAAAGCUCUUUCGUCGGGGAAGAAAAUGACUGUACCCGAAUAAGAAGGUCCGGCUAACUUCGUGCCAGCAGCCGCGGUAAUACGAAGGGACCUAGCGUAGUUCGGAAUUACUGGGCUUAAAGAGUUCGUAGGUGGUUGAAAAAGUUAGUGGUGAAAUCCCAGAGCUUAACUCUGGAACUGCCAUUAAAACUUUCCAGCUAGAGUAUGAUAGAGGAAAGCAGAAUUUCUAGUGUAGAGGUGAAAUUCGUAGAUAUUAGAAAGAAUACCAAUUGCGAAGGCAGCUUUCUGGAUCAUUACUGACACUGAGGAACGAAAGCAUGGGUAGCGAAGAGGAUUAGAUACCCUCGUAGUCCAUGCCGUAAACGAUGUGUGUUAGACGUUGGAAAUUUA